CCUACGGGAGGCUGCAGUGGGGAAUAUUGGACAAUGGGGGCAACCCUGAUCCAGCCAUGCCGCGUGUGUGAAGAAGGCCCUCGGGUUGUAAAGCACUUUCAGUGAGGAAGAACGCCUGGUGGUUAAUACCCAUCAGGAAAGACAUCACUCACAGAAGAAGCACCGGCUAACUCCGUGCCAGCAGCCGCGGUAAUACGGAGGGUGCGAGCGUUAAUCGGAAUUACUGGGCGUAAAGCGCGCGUAGGUGGCUUGAUAAGCCGGUUGUGAAAGCCCCGGGCUCAACCUGGGAACGGCAUCCGGAACUGUCAAGCUAGAGUGCAGGAGAGGAAGGUAGAAUUCCCGGUGUAGCGGUGAAAUGCGUAGAGAUCGGGAGGAAUACCAGUGGCGAAGGCGGCCUUCUGGACUGACACUGACACUGAGGUGCGAAAGCGUGGGUAUCAAACAGGAUUAGAUACCCCUGUAGUC
rnacentral:rRNA from 1 species